GUGGCCGUGGCCGCCGCCGCCGCCGCCGCCGCCGCCACCCGGGCUGCUCUAGGGGCCCGGCUUCUCUGCGCGUCCGCCUGGGGCUCACGGGGGCCCGGGGCGGCCGCUGGUUGGCUCGCGCACCGCCCUCGCCUCCAAUCCCCGGUGCCUGUCCUAAUUUCCUGAUCCAGGGAACCUGCCGCCGCCGCAGCUGUGCGCUCCCUACAGUCAUUACAGUGCCCUCCCGGCAGCCGCCAACUGAACACGCAGCGGCAGCAGUUAGCGCUGAUGCAACUCUCGCUGCUACUGCCACGGCUUCCCCACUAACCGGCCGUGCAGCUGGGGGGUACUUGCAGUUUCCAGGGGCAACAAGCAUCUCUCUACCACCCUCUCCUGCGCCCCUGAGAGAGGCUGGCCCUGAGCUUGAUGUAGAAGACUAUCAUAUGAACCAGAGAGGGUAACUGAACCCAAAGAAAUGACUCCAACAUGAAGCUAAAGACACGCCUUAAAGGAUGAGGAGGAGCAGAAAUCCCACCAGCAAGGCAAGAAAGAAGCUGUGCAUGAACAGGUGACAGUAAGAGAAAUGCUUCAUUCCCUGUUGCGAUUAUUAGCACGUGAAGCUUGUGAAACACAGAGCCCCAGCUAGAGGAUCUUGUGUUAUAAUUUUUCAAAGACUGCGCAGCAGGCACAGCAGCCAUACAGCUAAUAGAAAUCAAGUGUUAUUUCUUAAGUAUCAUGCACUUUGAUUAGCAGCUUGGGGAGCCAUUGGCUGAAUUUCUUGAAGAAACCUCUAGGAAGUCAGCCAUAACUCUAAGACUGAGGCAGCUUUCGAGUAGUGUGAUUCAUCUUCUUUAAGUAUUAGGGCCACCUAGGGUCACGCCAGCCCAGUCUACAGCAGGUAACCUGGAACUGAAAUUCUGAGACAAAAGAACUAGGAGGAAAAAUGUCCCACCUGGCUCAAGGGAGGAAGUCAAUUUAAAGGGAUGAGGAGAACACUGGCAAAAUAAUAUUUUAAAGCUAUUAACUGAUUUUCCUCUUCUGGCAGUUCCUAUUGCCUCUGACUCCUCCCCCAAGCCCACUUAGGUAUCAUUUGUUCUAUCAGGAAAAAAGAAGUUUCACCAGAGGGCAGGAAAAACAGGCUUUUGAUUUUCUAAAGUCAAGACCCUGAAGGCACUUGGGAUAGAGACACUAAGGUGAAUUGAUGCAAAGUUUCCCACCCCUUGUAAAACCUAGAGUUUUCUAGGUGUGUUGUGAGGACAGUGCUCGAGCUGGGGAGAAAAGGGGGCUGAUACAUGCUGGUGGGG
rnacentral:lncRNA from 1 species